rnacentral:rRNA from 1 species
ACUGAGACACGGUCCAGACUCCUACGGGAGGCAGCAGUGGGGAAUAUUGCACAAUGGGCGCAAGCCUGAUGCAGCCAUGCCGCGUGUAUGAAGAAGGCCUUCGGGUUGUAAAGUACUUUCAGCGGGGAGGAAGGGAGUAAAGUUAAUACCUUUGCUCAUUGACGUUACCCGCAGAAGAAGCACCGGCUAACUCCGUGCCAGCAGCCGCGGUAAUACGGAGGGUGCAAGCGUUAAUCGGAAUUACUGGGCGUAAAGCGCACGCAGGCGGUUUGUUAAGUCAGAUGUGAAAUCCCCGGGCUCAACCUGGGAACUGCAUCUGAUACUGGCAAGCUUGAGUCUCGUAGAGGGGGGUAGAAUUCCAGGUGUAGCGGUGAAAUGCGUAGAGAUCUGAGA